UACGUAGGGUGCGAGCGUUAAUCGGAAUUACUGGGCGUAAAGCGUGCGCAGGCGGUUUUGUAAGCCAGAUGUGAAAUCCCCGGGCUUAACCUGGGAAUGGCAUUUGGGACUGCAAGGCUUGAGUGCGGCAGAGGAGACUGGAAUUCCUGGUGUAGCAGUGAAAUGCGUAGAUAUCAGGAGGAACACCGGUGGCGAAGGCGGCAUCCUGGACCGGUAUUGACGCUGAGGCGCGAAAGCCAGGGGAGCAAACGGG
rnacentral:rRNA from 1 species